rnacentral:ncRNA from 1 species
AGCUGGUGCCAUUUAGAUGUAUAGAUGGCUGAAGAGGGAAUCUGGUGGAAAUCCAGAACUGACGCGCAGCGGUAAAAGAGAACGAGUAUUCAAAGACACUGCACAUAGCAUUGUGCGGGAAGUCGAAUAUUAGGUAGCCAUUAGUUAGGUAACUAGUCGGUUGUGCUCUUAAGUCCGAAUACCUGCCAGCAACU